UCUUUAAUAAUGAAGGAAAAAAAUACAAAUAAAGGAUUAAAAUGACAAACUGUUCUAUUCGAUUCGAUUUCCCGCAAACAACACAGUGUUCUUUCGGAAAAAAAGUGUUCUACAAAAUCUUCAUUCUCACUACCAUGUUCUACAAAAUCUUCAAUCUCACGUAACUCGGUGGGACUUUUCAAGCCUUCGACCUCGCAGAUUUAGGGAUUGGACGUUUCUCGCCUUCGAAUUCGAUCGCAUCUUCAGGUCUACUGAGGAUUUGCUUUCACAUUCUCUAAACUCUCUGUUAUUGUUUAUUGCUGGUGUAAGAGGGACUAGUAUAGUGAAUGAUGAUGUUUCAAGUCAAUUAGCAAAUGAGUGUUCAAGUGGGGUUUUCGAGUUGCGGAAUAAUAUUGAGCUUUUGGAGACCAUUCAGGUUUAUUUUUGUAUUGUUGUAUGUAUUUGAUGUGAUCUAUUUUAUUUUGACUUGCUUCUUUAUUGGAUUUUACUUCACUAUUUUAGAUCUGCUGCUCAGUGUAUUUUUCAUCUUUGUGAAAAUGUUCAUUUCAUUUUUUUUUCCGUGAGUUGAUUUUAGUUUUGGAUCGAAUUGAAGCUUGUUGAACCUCGAAUUUGAUUGUAAUUUUAAGGAUGAUAAGUGCUUAAUGUUGUUUGCUACUUAAAUGUUGAGGAUAUUUGUUGUUUCUGAACUUUGAGGAAUUUUGAAAUUGAGUAGAUUUUAUGGGAUUAGAUGAUCUAUCUGGUGUUAGAUUGUUAUGAUUUUAAAUUGUAGAUUGUAAUGUGAAUAAUAAAUCAUUGGGUUCCAGAUGUUAUGAUUUGCACUGUUGAUGUGAGGAUGGUUUUUGUUAUGUUUUAUUUGCUGCACUACACAGUUAUAUUAAACUAAAUUGUAAUCAGCAAUUGUAAAUUAUGGUGAUUUAAACUGUAAUGUGAGGAUGGUUUUUGUUAUGUUUUAUUUGUUGCACUACAGUCUACACAGUUAUAUAUGAUAUGUGAUUCCGACUUAAUAAUGCGCUAUAGGUUGUAGCUUUACUUUGUUAUACUUGCUGUAGGUCUCGAUUCACGAAUUGCUACUAAAAUUAGCAUCUUUGUAAUACACCGUCAUGUGUGGAAGUCUGAUCUGAUGUCAAUGGGUGUUGCUAUGAUGGAAUCUUUGUGGUUGUGGUUUGUGAUACUGUGGCUGAAUAUCCAGGCAUGCAUGAUUGAGGAAGAUUAAAGGAUCAGGUGGCAGAGUUGAAGUUGCUACAGUUUUAUAGAGCAGAUGAAGAGAUCUUGUGACCGAGUUCCUGAGGCUCACAGUUUUUGGCGACUUGUCAACAUGAUGCUCUUGCUAUGAAGACAUUUUAGUUGGGAGUGUAAAGAUUUAGCCGCUGCAAAGAAUAGUUGGUGCAGAAAAUGUCAAAUAGUGAUCUGGUAGUGUAGAUACAUCAGACUGUGUUCUUAUUAUUGAGACAUGUGGUAUUUCAGAAAUUGCAAGGUGCAUUACGUGAUAUCUGGUGUUAAUGUUACGCGCUUCCCUACA